rnacentral:rRNA from 1 species
CCUACGGGAGGCAGCAGUGAGGAAUAUUGGUCAAUGGCCGUAAGGCUGAACCAGCCAAGUCGCGUGAAGGAAGAAGGAUCUAUGGUUUGUAAACCUCUUUUAUAGGGGAAUAAAGGUAUCCACGUGUGGAUAUUUGCAUGUACCCUAUGAAUAAGCAUCGGCUAACUCCGUGCCAGCAGCCGCGGUAAUACGGAGGAUGCGAGCGUUAUCCGGAUUUAUUGGGUUUAAAGGGUGCGUAGGUUGUUUUUUAAGUCAGCGGGUAAAGUUUGUGGCUCAACCAUAAAAUUGCCGUUGAAACUGGAAGACUUGAGUGUGCUUGAGGUAGGCGGAAUGCGUGGUGUAGCGGUGAAAUGCAUAGAUAUCACGCAGAACUCCGAUUGCGAAGGCAGCUUACUAGGCCAUAACUGACACUGAGGCACGAAAGCGUGGGUAUCAAACAGGAUUAGAUACCCUUGUAGUC